ensembl:miRNA
UUCUCUUUGCUUUCAGCUUCUUUACAGUGUUGCCUUGUGGCAUGGAGUUCAAGCAGCAUUGUACAGGGCUAUCAAAGCAUGG